rnacentral:rRNA from 1 species
UCAUCGAAUUAAACCACAUGCUCCACCGCUUGUGCGGGCCCACGUCAAUUCCUUUGAGUUUCACUCUUGCGAGCGUACUCCCCAGGUGGGAUACUUAUCACUUUCGCUUGACCACUCAGUCCUAAAAACCGAACAGUUAGUAUCGAUCGUUUACGGCGUGGACUACCGGGGUAUCUUAUCAAUCGAAUUCCCGCGGCCGCCAUGGCGGCCGGAAGCUGCGACGUGGCCCAAUGCCAUAGGGGUCGAUUAAAUAGGCGGUAAAA